AUUGUGCUUAUGUAGCUAGCUACAUUCUUCUAUUAGCUCUGUAAAACAAUGCUAAUGGCGGCAGAGAAGUAUUAGCUUGUGUUGGAAUAUAUUGACGGAACGCCAGCCUACCCUUCCAUAACAUCAGGGACUCGUCAAUGCAUAGGUCCUUGUAUGGCACAAAGAUCCAACCAAAUACAGAUGUCAGGCUGCUCCAAGGUAUAGCGAUUGGUCUUCUCCACUAUGUCCACCAGCUCCUCUGUCAGAAACAGCUUGAAGCACAGCAGGGCCAGGAGGGGUGAAAUGGCUGGCGGCCUUCCAGCUACCGCAAACCUCCUGUACUUCACCCACUUUUGGUAUGCCUCCAUCACCACCAGCAUCUUCAGAGGGACCUGGAACUUCGUCAGUGGGCAAGGGGUCUUCAGAUUCAGGGUUAUCAAUGGCCACAAGGUGGGGGGGGGGCAGCUCCUCACUGUCAGAAUCUGAAUCCUCACUUUCAUACUCAGACGCUUUGUCAGAAAUUUUUAAAAUCUCCAGAAUUUCCGUAUUGAAAGACAUUGCUAAUGUUACAGCUUAGCUUACUAGCUACAUACAUAAACACCGAAUGGCUCUGAGUGAGUGUCAGAGGUUAUGUGAUUGACUGCA